rnacentral:rRNA from 1 species
CAAGGAUGCAAUGGUAAGAGAGCAGAAGUUAAAACAAGGUCAAUCGAAAAGACAUCUGAUUGAAAGAAUACAAGAUAGUAUAAAUCUUUGUGAAUAAAAUUGAGUGCGGGAUAGUGGCGGACGGGUGAGUAACGCGUGAACAAUCUGCCCCGUACAAAGGGAUAGCCUCGGGAAACCGGGAUUAAAACCAUAUAACACUUAACUGCCGCAUGGUAGUGAAGUCAAAUCGAGUAAGAGGUAUGGGAUGAGUUCGCGUCUGAUUAGCUAGUUGGUGAGGUAAGGGCUCACCAAGGCGACGAUCAGUAGCCGGCCUGAGAGGGUGAACGGCCACACUGGAACUGAGACACGGUCCAGACUCCUACGGGAGGCAGCAGUGGGGAAUAUUGCACAAUGGAGGGAACUCUGAUGCAGCGACGCCGCGUGAGUGAAGAAGGUCUUCGGAUCGUAAAACUCUGUCCUUGGUGAAGAAAAGGACGGUAGCCAAGGAGGAAGCCCCGGCUAACUACGUG